CUCGGCUCCCCACGUGGCGUCAUCUUGAGGAACUCCCCCAGGGCAGGAAUGCAGCAAGGGUACUCGAGCUCUGGCGGGUGCGUGGGGAGUCCUUUGU
rfam:Trueperella pyogenes strain TP6375, complete genome.